CCGGCCCCGCUUCCCCGGCGCUCCCGGAGUUUGCGGUUUGUUUGCCACGCUUCCGCCGAGGAAGGUGAGCCACAGCGUGCAGGAGGUGCGCAGGGCUGCGGCAGCAAACCGAUACGUUAAGGGAUCUUUCCUGGAUACACCUGAUUAAUUGAUGCUUACGAAGGCAUAACUGAUUCUUCAUGAUGGUGAAACAAUUAAAUUGCUUUCUUGUACAUUCUCUCUGCUGAGGCAGUUGCCCAGUUAAUCUUUCCAGGAUCACACUCAGUUGUGGUUGCUUUGAGGAAUUCUGAAAGAGUUUUUUGUUGCCAAUCCAGCACACUGUUAAUGAGAUGAUAGUAUGUAUUUACAACUAUUUGCCAGCUUUAAAUGCUGAUAUGGUGGAGUAAAAACCUAAAUGAAUUUAUUUUGAAAGAAUCUUAGCAUUGAUUUCCCUUUGAAGUCAUAUGUGCUUGCAGGAGAAAUGAAUGGAAUAAUAUUUUCCCAGAGCUCAAUAGCACGGCAGCUCUUCUAUAAAUUGCCUUGCCAGAGCUUAGAUGUGUGCUCUUAAGUUGUUUAUGACUUAAGUGUGGGCCAGCUACAUGUCUUGAACAUCCUACAAGAACCUCAGCUAUUAUAAAAAAGUUGUUUGUUGUUUCUUUUAUAUUUAAUUUGGCUGCCUUGUCUAAAAAACUUCUGUGACCCCAUUUUACAAAAAUAAUUAUCCUGCUGUUACAAAAAGAAUGUCAAACAGUAUCAAUUUUACUUUAAUUCAGCUAGUGAGUGUGUCAGCAACCACUGAGGCUGAAUUUCUUUCUGUCUUUCUGCCACUUUAACCUGGCAGCAGGUAACCACUCCUCCUCCCAUAACCAGGCUGAAGUUCUGUCCCUACAGUCAGUUUGCAAGGGAGGAUCCAUUGAUCAUUACAUCUUUGUUUUCCCGGUGGGGACAGCAGCAAUUCGGAGUUCACGGACACUGCAGAACAAAGAGAAUGUUAAUCUUUGCUUUUCAAACCAUAAAAGCAGCUGAGCCCUUCUUGGUGCCAGGUGAGGAGAGGGGCAUUCAAGGUGUGAGGCAUGCACUAGGUUGCUGUUUUCUCAAAGUACAAACAUCUAAAAAAAGUACAAAUGUCUAAAUUCUCUUGAUAAAAUUUUAACAGCAAUUAAUUAUCAUCCAAAACAGCCAAACUUUUGUCAGGAGGGAGAGUGUUUUCUCUCAGGAAUAAUAGCUGUAAGCACAGGUGCUCUAGAAAGUUACUAUUGCAGCCUUGCCAUAGUGGCUGGAUCUUGGUGACUCCCUUGAAACCUUGUCUUGCCCCUAGCUCUGCCUGCCACUCCCUAUUCAUGCUGACUAAUCUUGCUUACAGGAGUGCCAGGAAACUUCUGGCUUCCCUGGGGUGGAGGACAAGGACAUGCUUGAUCAGACCACCAGAGUCUACCUCUGCAUUAAUCUUUUCUGUAGUUUUUAAAGAUUCUUUACUACACCUUGGUCGCAGAUGCCACCCAUUUUUUGGGAAGAGAUCCCAGUAGAAAGCGGUGUAUCAGGGCAUUGCAGAGAUAUAUAAAAAUAACAUUUAUUUAAAAUAGGUAAUGGUUAAUGCAUAAUAUAUAAAAAAAUAUACACAUCACAGAGGGUUUCUAACACCCAGACAGCUCUUGAGACCAGAGCAAUUGCAAUAGGUAUAGUCACCAGCUUCGAAGUGCUCACACAACCAAGCACCUGCAUUUUUUUCAAGACAAAAAAUGUUCUAACUGAGGAGAGUAGAUUAGCACCAGGGUUUGAUACUUUAAGCAAACACUUGGCAUUCUAAAAAUGGAGUCAUUGUUGUUCCUAUGUGGGUGAAUUAUGUUUUUGAUUCUCCAUGCCUCCUGUCAUGUGCCUUAAAGAAAUUCAAGCAGGAAUAAUCUCCCCUUUCUUUUACAUUACCUCCUCUUUCUUAGCUACUUUCUGUUAUCUUUCUCUGUUCAGCUCUUUCCCUUAUAUGCAUUCUUCUAUUUGCUUAUGCAUUCUUCUAUUUGCUA